ensembl:lncRNA
GUGCCGGAGUCAACUGCUUUACUGUCUUAGACCACACUGCACCAGGCUCACUGGAGUUCUCCGCUUCUUCCUUCUGUAGCAGACUCUCAGUGCUGAGCUCAGACGCCUGCCUCGUUUAUUCUUAGACCGUGUACCUCGAAUUGCGAACCACAUCACAGCAGUUUGUGACCAUGUGAGUGUGCAGUACCCAUGGAGUCCAGAAGGGGGUGUCAGAUCCCCUGGAGCUGGAGUAACAGGCAGUUGAGAGUCACUGUGGGUGAUGUGAGGAACUGCACUCAAGUCCUCUGGAAGAGCAAAUGUCCUCUUGACUCCUGAGCCAUCUCUCUUGCUCAAGCCAAGCCUGCUUUUUCUCAUCCGAGUUCUAGAAACAAUAUCUUUUAGACCAUCGCAAUCACAUUGGAAGGAACUACCACGGUAUCUGAUGGCAGCACUCAGGAAAUACUUGACAGGAUUCCAGACUUUUCUGAGCAUCUGUUUCAGUUACCUCUUGCUGCUGUAAUAAGCCAGCGCAGGUGCACCGACCUGAAGCAAAGCUAACUUCUUAUGUCACUGUUAUGGAGGUGCUGUUCAUUAUGGAGCCACACCUUUGCCUCACAGCUCAAACUGAAUCACAUGGGUCACUGCAUCAAUGGAG